rnacentral:rRNA from 1 species
UGCAGUCGAACGACGCAUAUUGGAGGGGUAACCCAUCGAUAUGACGGAGUGGCGAACGGGUGAGUAACACGUGAGCAAUCUGCCCCACAGACCGGGACAGCCCAGGGAAACUUGGAUUAAUACCGGAUGACCUCCUAGGACCGCAUGGUCUCUUGAGGAAAUAUUUUUGUGCUGUGGGAUGAGCUCGCGACUUAUCAGCUAGUUGGUGGGGUAACGGCCUACCAAGGCAUUGACGAGUAGCUGGUCUGAGAGGACGAUCAGCCACACUGGGACUGAGACACGGCCCAGACUCCUACGGGAGGCAGCAGCAGGGAAUCUUGCGCAAUGGACGAAAGUCUGACGCAGCGACACCGCGUGGGGGAUGAAGGCCUUCGGGUUGUAAACCCCUUUCAGGAGGGAAGAAAUUGACGGUACCUCCAAAAGAAGCACCGGCCAACUACGUGCCAGCAGCCGCGGUAAUACGUAGGGUGCGAGCGUUAUCCGGAAUCAUUGGGCGUAAAGAGCUCGUAGGCGGUUCAGCAAGUCGGCUGUGAAAGUUCGAGGCUCAACCUCGAAAUUGCAGUCGAAACUGCUGUGACUCGAGUCCGGUAGAGGAGAAUGGAAUUCUCGGUGUAGCGGUGAAAUGCGCAGAUAUCGAGAGGAACACCGGCGGCGAAGGCGGCUUUCUGGAUCGCAACUGA